rnacentral:rRNA from 1 species
AUUGAACGCUGGCGGCAUGCCUUACACAUGCAAGUCGAACGGCAGCACGGGAGCAAUCCUGGUGGCGAGUGGCGAACGGGUGAGUAAAGCAUCGGAACGUGCCCAGUCGUGGGGGAUGACGUAGCGAAAGCUACGCUAAUACCGCAUACGAUCUGUGGAUGAAAGCGGGGGACCGUAAGGCCUCGCGCGAUUGGAGCGGCCGAUGUCAGAUUAGGUAGUUGGUGAGGUAAAGGCUCACCAAGCCGACGAUCUGUAGCUGGUCUGAGAGGACGACCAGCCACACUGGGACUGAGACACGGCCCAGACUCCUACGGGAGGCAGCAGUGGGGAAUUUUGGACAAUGGGCGCAAGCCUGAUCCAGCAAUGCCGCGUGCAGGAUGAAGGCCUUCGGGUUGUAAACUGCUUUUGUACGGAGCGAAACGGCUUCCACUAAUACUGGGGGCUAAUGACGGUACCGUAAGAAUAAGCACCGGCUAACUACGUGCCAGCAGCCGCAGUAAGAC